CUGGCUAGUAAUGGAUGGGUCUCUCACGUGCAGGCACUUCCUGCGCUAGAUUGAGUACUCCAUCUCCUGGUUUUGUGAACCUAGCAUCAUACUCAAGUCACCAACAGGGUACCACUGGUUAAACACGAUUAAUUGUCAUGAUGGAAAUAAGAAUUCGCCUUCAGCAGAGAGUAGCCAGUCUAUACAUUGCUGCCAUGGUCAUUAGCCAUGAAUGUGGCUUGUGAAAGGAUGAAGGGGUGUCCCCAAUCUUUCCUGUUGGAGUCCUGUGGACCAGCCUCCCUCUUGCAGGAAAUGGGGAAACAAAAAGGUCAUUUGGUGUUUAUUUUUCUAUUGGGAUUCUGUUUUAGGCACACAACAAGGCUCACAAUCCACCUGGC